UGGGGAAUAUUGCGCAAUGGGCGGAAGCCUGACGCAGCGACGCCGCGUGGGGGAUGACGGCCUUCGGGUUGUAAACCUCUUUCAGCAGGGACCAAGGGUGACUGAGUGUACCUGCAGAAGAAGCACCGGCUAACUACGUGCCAGCAGCCGCGGUAAUACGUAGGGUGCGAGCGUUGUCCGGAUUUAUUGGGCGUAAAGGGCUCGUAGGCGGCCUGUCGCGUCGGGAGUGAAAGCCCACUGCUUAACGGUGGGUCUGCUUCCGGUACGGGCAGGCUGGAGUAUGGCAGGGGAGACUGGAAUUCCUGGUGUAGCGGUGGAAUGCGCAGAUAUCAGGAGGAACACCGGUGGCGAAGGCGGGUCUCUGGGCCAUUACUGACGCUGAGGAGCGAAAGCGUGGGGAGCGAACAGGAUUAGAUACCCGGGUAGUCC
rnacentral:rRNA from 1 species